rnacentral:rRNA from 1 species
UGAGGAAUAUUGGGCAAUGGAGGCAACUCUGACCCAGCAACGCCGCGUGAAGGAAGAAGGCCUUAGGGUUGUAAACUUAUGUUGUAAAGGAAGAAAAGAAUGACGGUACUUUACAAGAAAGCCCCGGCUAACUAUGUGCCAGCAGCCGCGGUAAGACAUAGGGGGCAAGCGUUGUUCGGAAUUACUGGGCGUAAAGGGUGCGUAGGCGGCGAGUUAAGUCAGCGGUAAAAGCCCGGGGCUCAACCCCGGCGAGCCGUUGAAACUGGCGGGCUGGAGUUGGAGAGAAGUACGCGGAAUGCGCGG